rnacentral:rRNA from 1 species
AUUGAACGCUGGCGGCAUGCUUUACACAUGCAAGUCGAACGGUAACAGGCCUUCGGGUGCUGACGAGUGGCGAACGGGUGAGUAAUGCAUCGGAACGUACCGUGUAAUGGGGGAUAACGUAGCGAAAGUUACGCUAAUACCGCAUACGCCCUGAGGGGGAAAGCGGGGGAUCGUAAGACCUCGCGUUAUACGAGCGGCCGAUGUCGGAUUAGCUAGUUGGUGGGGUAAAGGCCGACCAAGGCGACGAUCCGUAGCGGGUCUGAGAGGAUGAUCCGCCACACUGGGACUGAGACACGGCCCAGACUCCUACGGGAGGCAGCAGUGGGGAAUUUUGGACAAUGGGGGCAACCCUGAUCCAGCCAUGCCGCGUGCGGGAAGAAGGCCUUCGGGUUGUAAACCGCUUUCGGACGGAAGAAAUCGUCCUCUCUAACAUAGGGGAUGGAUGACGGUACCGUAAGAAGAAGCACCGGCUAACUACGUGCCAGCAGCCGCGGUAAUAC